CUCUGGAUCUCAUAUGACUUUAGUCAAACUCGUAGAAAUUCUGACCUGACCACAGAGAAACGAUCAGGCUCCAGGAGUGGGAACUCGAGAGAGGCACGAGGAGCUGCAUGAAAUGAGAAGAUCAUUGUCAGUUGAAAUCUUACUCUGGACUCCAAUCUGUGAAAGACAUGGAGGUGGAGUUGUCUGUGUGAAGUGAGGAGAGGACAGCGGUGCUCAGGAAAUCCUGACAAAUUGUGAGUUAGGAGACCCAGGUUCCUGUUUUGGUCCAGUCCCACUAAACCUCCCCCUGAUUAAUAAAGUGCUUUCACACAUAGUCACCUUACUUUGGUUUCCUGCCAAUCCUGUGAGAGGCAGGGCAGUGACAAUGCUGAGUUUUACCUGAAGGUUAAGAAGUCCCCCUCCCAUUUUGUGUCCUGGAGAACGGCUUACUGCAAAGAACGACCAUUCCUCAUACGACUUAUCUAAAGACUCCUGGAUGCCCCCUUCUUCACCUACGACAAGGCCAGUCACAGACCCUACAAGUUCCCUUUCUUUGCCUCAUAAAUGAUUAGCUGGACUGCUUGUCCCCAUUGAUCAGUAGGAAAAAAUGUUUGUUAGCUGAACUUUGAUUACACUCCUCUCCUUUGUCCAGGCCCCUGAACUUUGGUCCACCCUCAGCCUGAGUCAGCAUGCUGCCUCUCCUCAAGGGUCCCGCCUAGAAAAUAGUCUGGCCUCGGGGUCAAACAUUCUCUGAUCUCCUAUCCCAUCAGACCACCCUUUCUUUCCGCUUCCCCACAAGUGCUUCUUUCCAGC
rnacentral:lncRNA from 1 species